rnacentral:tRNA from 1 species
GCAGGGUGGUUCUGUGGUAGAAGGCUCACCUUCCAAGUAGGAGACCUGGGUUUGAGUCCCAGCCAGUGCA